rnacentral:rRNA from 1 species
GUGAAACAUCCAAGCAGGCAGAGGACAAGAAAAAAGAAAAAUCUGGAAACAGCGACGAUGAGGGGAAGGUGGAGUGGCUUCCUCACGAAUUGGAGGAAUUGGAGUUUGGGAACA